rnacentral:tRNA from 1 species
GCGUUGGUGGUUCCGUGGUAGAAUGCUCACCUUCUGUGCAGGAGACCAGGGUUCUAUUCCUGGCCAAUGCA